CCUGUAUAACUGACCUGAUUGGGAGAGUUUGCUCUGUUUAUUAGUGUCCCAGCGUUGCGGCAGCAAGAAUGAGUAUCAAUUAUCAUAUUCCAAAGAUGUGGAGUUUUAGAAGACAUUACCUUACCAGUGAGGAGGAGACCGCCACUGAAUACUGAGAAUGGUAUGUUCCACUCCUAAAGGCGGGAGACACCUGUAUAACUGGGCUGAUUGGGACGGUUGGUUCUGUUUGUUAGCGUCCCAGUGCUGCUGCAAGAAUGAGUCAAUAUAUCCUCAUUUCAAAGAUGUGGAGUUGAAGAGCGUGAUCUUACCAGUGAGGAGACCACCACUAUAUUGAGUAGCAUUUUUUUAAAGGUGUUUUUUUUUUUUUUUUUUUUUUUUUUUUACAAACUUAUUUACAAGUACAUGUGAUGGUCUAGGACCGUUUCAAAGUAAAUAAAAUUGGAUACUGUA